rnacentral:rRNA from 1 species
UACGAAGGGGGGCUAGCGUUGCUCGGAAUCACUGGGCGUAAAGCGCACGUAGGCGGCUUUUUAAGUCAGGGGUGAAAUCCUGGAGCUCAACUCCAGAACUGCCUUUGAUACUGAGAAGCUUGAGUCCGGGAGAGGUGAGUGGAACUGCGAGUGUAGAGGUGAAAUUCGUAGAUAUUCGCAAGAACACCAGUGGCGAAGGCGGCUCACUGGCCCGAUACUGACGCUGAGGCACGAAAGCGUGGGGAGCAAACAGGG